rnacentral:rRNA from 1 species
CCUACGGGAGGCAGCAGUGGGGAAUAUUGGACAAUGGGGGCAACCCUGAUCCAGCCAUGCCGCGUGUGUGAAGAAGGCCCUCGGGUUGUAAAGCACUUUCAGUGAGGAAGAACGCCUGGUGGUUAAUACCCAUCAGGAAAGACAUCACUCACAGAAGAAGCACCGGCUAACUCCGUGCCAGCAGCCGCGGUAAUACGGAGGGUGCGAGCGUUAAUCGGAAUUACUGGGCGUAAAGCGCGCGUAGGUGGCUUGAUAAGCCGGUUGUGAAAGCCCCGGGCUCAACCUGGGAACGGCAUCCGGAACUGUCAAGCUAGAGUGCAGGAGAGGAAGGUAGAUUUCCCGGUGUAGCGGUGAAAUGCGUAGAGAUCGGGAGGAAUACCAGUGGCGAAGGCGGCCUUCUGGACUGACACUGACACUGAGGUGCGAAAGCGUGGGUAGCAAACAGGAUUAGAUACCCGAGUAGUC